rnacentral:rRNA from 1 species
UAGAUACCCUGGUAGUCCAUGCCGUAAACGAUGAAUGCUAGGUGUUGGAGGGUUUCCGCCCUUCAGUGCCGCAGCUAACGCAUUAAGCAUUCCGCCUGGGGAGUACGACCGCAAGGUUGAAACUCAAAGGAAUUGACGGGGGCCCGCACAAGCGGUGGAGCAUGUGGUUUAAUUCGAAGCAACGCGAAGAACCUUACCAGGUCUUGACAUCUUUUGAUCACCUGAGAGAUCAGGUUUCCCCUUCGGGGGC